AAGAAAUUGACAAAGAGAUCAGUGAAAUGAAGCUGUCUGUCAACGCAAGAGCCCGCAUCGUCGCUGAGGAGUUCCUGAAGAACUUCUGAGAGGAAAUGCUGCCCCACAUUCCUUUAGAAGUCGGAGGGUUUGAAUCCCAAACCGGAUCGCUGCCGUGGGAUCAUCCAGGAGGAUCAUCGGAUGAACAGUAAGACUGUCGGAGGAGAAUCCCAAACUCCUGUGAAUGUUCUCAGCAAACUUCAUUUCGGCCUCCGGCGGCUUUAGAAUGAAAAUGUUAUCAAUAUUCUGGAGCACAAAUAUUUAACGUAAACAAAAAAAGAAGAGAAUAUAUGUACAUGUAUAUAUUAUAUGCAUAUUAUUGUCAUUUUUGCUGUUUUGUUACCAUGAAGCUCAGAUCAUGAAGGCAAUCAGUUCAAGUGUUUGAGUUCGGUUUGUUGUUUGCUGGAAUUGAAGAUGAUGAAAUAAAAAGUGACGUUUUUUUAAAUCAAGCAAACAUCUUCUCUUCAAAAAUAUUCAACAUUUAUUUACGUUCACAGCUGAAGACAAACCAGACAGAAAUGCUUUUUACAUUUAGCAUAAACACACAAUGGAAGGAGAAGCAUUUCACACGUUUGUGUUGUUUUUUGGCAGAUAAAAAGUGUUGAUCGUCGUACCUGAGAUGAACACGAACACAGACUGAUCCUAGCUUAUUAUUAACGUCAGCUAAAGACAUGAUUUGCUUAAUUAUCACAGUUUGGAUGUAUAUUUGAUUUAAAAAAGACAUGAUUUUGUUAUUUUUCUUGAAUUGGAUCCACUUUUAUUUUAUUGCUGGAAUGUUGAUUGCUUCUACACGGAGCACGCACCAUGGAAUCACUCCUUGUUUAUGUGUUUUCCUUAAAUAUAUAUCACCAAACAAACGUUUGGAGAAUAAAA